UGAAAUGACCAUGGUGACGAGUCGAGCCCCCCGA
rnacentral:sRNA from 1 species